GUGGGGAAUAUUGCACAAUGGGCGCAAGCCUGAUGCAGCGACGCCGCGUGAGGGAUGACGGCCUUCGGGUUGUAAACCUCUUUCAGUAGGGAAGAAGCGAAAGUGACGGUACCUGCAGAAGAAGCGCCGGCUAACUACGUGCCAGCAGCCGCGGUAAUACGUAGGGCGCAAGCGUUAUCCGGAAUUAUUGGGCGUAAAGAGCUCGUAGGCGGUUUGUCGCGUCUGCCGUGAAAGUCCGGGGCUCAACUCCGGAUCUGCGGUGGGUACGGGCAGACUAGAGUGAUGUAGGGGAGACUGGAAUUCCUGGUGUAGCGGUGAAAUGCGCAGAUAUCAGGAGGAACACCGAUGGCGAAGGCAGGUCUCUGGGCAUUAACUGACGCUGAGGAGCGAAAGCAUGGGGAGCGAACAGGAUUAGAAACCCGGGUAGUCC
rnacentral:rRNA from 1 species